CCUACGGGCGGCUGCAGUGGGGAAUAUUGCACAAUGGGCGCAAGCCUGAUGCAGCCAUGCCGCGUGUGUGAAGAAGGCCUUCGGGUUGUAAAGCACUUUCAGCGGGGAGGAGGGCGGUGAGGUUAAUAACCUCAUCGAUUGACGUUACCCGCAGAAGAAGCACCGGCUAACUCCGUGCCAGCAGCCGCGGUAAUACGGAGGGUGCAAGCGUUAAUCGGAAUUACUGGGCGUAAAGCGCACGCAGGCGGUCUGUCAAGUCGGAUGUGAAAUCCCCGGGCUCAACCAGGGAACUGCAUUCGAAACUGGCAGGCUAGAGUCUUGUAGAGGGGGGUAGAAUUCCAGGUGUAGCGGUGAAAUGCGUAGAGAUCUGGAGGAAUACCGGUGGCGAAGGCGGCCCCCUGGACAAAGACUGACGCUCAGGUGCGAAAGCGUGGGGAGCAAACAGGAUUAGAUACCCGAGUAGUC
rnacentral:rRNA from 1 species